AUUUAUAUAGUUUAAUAAAAAAUAUUGAUUUGUGGAAUCAAGGAUAUAUUGUAUAUUAUAAAUA
rnacentral:tRNA from 1 species